AAGACUAUAGACCUGCGGAGUACCUGCGGAAGGAUCAUUACAGGACUCGCAAGACUCCUACAACCCUGUGAACUUAACUAUAAGCACGUUGCUUCGGCGGGUGUCUCGGCGAGGGUUCUCCCUCCCCGGGGCGCUAAGCCCGCCGGCAGCCUACUAUACUCUGUCUCUUUGCGUUGGCAUCUCGAGUACAAACAAACAAGUUAAAACUUUCAGCAAUGGAUCUCUAGAUCGGAAGAGCAC
rnacentral:misc_RNA from 1 species